UACGAAGGGGACUAGCGUUGUUCGGAAUUACUGGGCGUAAAGCGCACGUAGGCGGAUUUGUUAGUCAGGGGUGAAAUCCCGGGGCUCAACUCCGGAAUUGCCUUUGAAACGGGAUCGCUAGAGUCCGAGAGAGGAUGGCGGAAUUCCUAGUGUAGAGGUGAAAUUCGUAGAUAUUAGGAAGAACACCGGUGGCGAAGGCGGCCAUCUGGCUCGGUACUGACGCUCAGGCGCGAAAGCGUGGGGAGCAAACAGG
rnacentral:rRNA from 1 species